rnacentral:rRNA from 1 species
UACGUAGGCAGCAAGCGUUGUUCGGAAUUACUGGGCGUAAAGAGUGUGUAGGCGGUGCUCUAAGUUCGGUGUGAAAUCUCCCGGCUUAACUGGGAGGGUGCGCCGGAACUGGAGUGCUCGAGCGUGGGAGAGGAAAGCGGAAUUCCUGGUGUAGCGGUGAAAUGCGUAGAUAUCGGCAGGAACACCCGUGGCGAAAGCGGCCACCUAGCCCGCACCUGACGCUGAUGCGCGACAGCGUGGGGACGCG